ACAAUUUUUUAAUACACAUUUUUCCAUAAAAAGUCAAAAAGUUAACCCAAACAUCCAUAUAUUUUUCCUCAAUUUUUUAGUCCAAAAAGAUAAAAAAUGCACUUAUUUAGGACAUCCCAAACACCCCUUAAUCUUAUAAUGUUGCUGAACUUCUCCACAUGAUAGGAACCUGAGAUGCACUUAGAAGUCGUUGGCACUGCAGAUUUUUUAUUGCACUGCAACUACCGUGAACUGACUUCCAUUCUCAAUAUAGAUUGAUUUGAAGAAAAAUAAAAUAACAAAUGGCAAUAAAUAAAUAAAAAAACAAGAACUUUUGUUUCUUGUUUGAUUUGAUGCAUACGAUUCAUUCACUGUUACUUUUCUUUUAAUUGGGAAUGUUAUUUUCUUUAAUUUUCUUCAUUUAAAAACAAUCAAGUCACAUGUUUUGCCUCUGUGCAUCUGAAACAGGGAAGUCUGCUUGUUUUCUGAGCCUGCUUGGACAGUUUUAUAUGAUGCAAGCAUAAUUAAUUUCACCUUUGUGUAGUUUUAGCAUGCAUAAGAUUGCAACUGCACUAUUAAAGCAACAACCAAGUGCACUUUUACGCUUGCCUGACUUUGAAGCAAUUAUAAAGAGUUUCCAGUUGGAAUCUGCCAACUUCUCAAUCAUCAUCUCGAGCUUUUCAACUGUCUUCUAACCUCUUAAUUACCCGAUUUCACAGUAGACUGUUAUCUUGUUAGGAAUUUCUAUUCCAUGGCAUCAAGAUUAAAAAUAUACUUGAAUGUGGAAUUACCUCGUUAUACUUUUUGACGCAUGUAGAGAAACUGGAGCCGGUAUUUUUUAUUUUUUAAUUGUUAAAAAUGUAAGCAUAUCUCUGUUUACUGAUAAAUAAGAGUUUGAAAAGGCGAAUGCACAUUAUGUAAAUCAUGUGCUAAUAAUGACUUCAAAACAA